GUGACUCAGAAGAGGCACCCGAACAUAUGCACCGCUGAAGGUCGCGCCGAACAGUGGAGAGAGGGUCGGCGGACAGACGGGAAGUGACGCCUAGCUGUGCGCGGUUGCCCGAAGUACCCGGAGGUCGCCAUAACGUGUCCCGUACUGCGGUGGCUUCUCGCUUUACAAGCGCCUGCGUCGUCAUGGAAACAGAGGAGUGUACCUGUGGCAAUUGCAGGCUAAUGGAGACUGCAAUAUCCUGCGUGUGCUGCAAAGAGCAAUGUAGGGCUGAAGACAUAAUGCAAGAAGCUGGUUUGGAAUGCAUCACAGAACACAGACUUUUCCGAAAGCACUGCCUCGACAUAGACACGCUGAACUUGGAAGAAAUUAAGCUCCGGAACAGAGACCGUGGCUGCCUCCAAAACCGUAGAGGAAUGUGAAGAGGCACAUUGCAUACAGACAGUUCAUCUUCUGGGUGUAUCACAGGCUUGGAAAGGGAAACAGGGCUGUAGUUCCUAGCUGCGCAGUACUAAA